GCUUCAAAAGUCCAUCUACUGCUCAAUACUUAACCGGAUCCAAAGGAUGAUUGUUUGUGCAUUACAGCCGCACUGAGGACGACACCACUUGAUGCACUGAAUUUAAUGCUACAUCUUCUGGCUCUGACAUUGUGGCUAGACAAAUUGCAGCGACCACUGCCGUGAGGUUAAUGGAGCUUUCUCAUUGGCAGUGUUGAUUACCCCCUACCUGAGCCGCUUUUUGAUAAAAAGUACGGUACUACUCUAUUCCUGAUAAAACCGAUUGGAACUGCGAUAUCCCUGGUAACAGAAGUAACAUAGACUUCUAUACGGAUGGUUCCUAAUUAAACGACCAGUGUGUAUCAAGCGGAGAUCCUUGAAAUUAAGGAAGUAUUUCUGAACACAAAAGGAGAACGUAUUUCUGAACACAAAAACCGCCCUAGACUGUCUCAAAUCUCUCAUCGAGAUGGCUGAAUAGUUCAAAAUUCACCAGUUCUGAGUGCCGGGCCACAGAGAUAUCCCAGGGAAUUGUAAAGCGCACGAGCUUGCGAGCCUAGGAACUACGCUAGACACUCCACAGAUAUUGGAAUAUGUGGGUAUGCCUCUAGCGACAUAUAAGCUAAGUUUUCAGGACCAGGUCCGAAGUACAACGAAUGAUAGAUGGUCACAAAGAGGGGUCUGUGAACAUUCCAAAAAAAUGUAGCUAAAUCUAAACUCAAAAAGGACUACUGCUUUGCUGUCAUUGGCAAGCAAAUCAGACGUCUCAGUCCUUGUGUCCAUCAUGACAGGUCACUGUCUAAUCGGAAAACAUGCUGACAGACUGAUGGUUGCCAGCAACAACUUUUGCUGAAGCUGUGAGGACAUCGAAGAAGAAGAGACUAUAGAACACCUUCAGCGUGUGUGUCCAGCUCUUGCAGUCAGAAGGAGCUUCACUUUAGGUUCUCAUUUCUGUGAGAAUCUGUCUGAUUUAGUGGGUGUAAACAUUCGCAAGUUAUUGGGCUUUUUAAAGCGAUCUGGAUGAUUCAACGGGAGGAUCUAAAAGGCAUCUUCCGAAAACGUCUAGGUAAGUCUGAUGGCAGACUGCCACUUUAACCUAACCUCUCUCCCCUUCAAACUGGGAAUUGCAGCAAGAUAUGGUGCCUACAACAAAUCAUGUCAAAUAUUUCAAAUUACAAUUUGCUUUGGGCUAUUUUGCUGCACAUCACUGUCUAUAAGUUUUAAAUGAAAGAAAAACUAAAUUUAUUCUUAAAUUAAUGGCACAGGGAAAAAAUAUUAAAUAUAUAAAAAUUAUUCAACGAAUUUUAAAAUAGUAGUGAGCGCUUC